rnacentral:rRNA from 1 species
UACGUAGGGGCAAGCGUUGUCCGGAAUUAUUGGGCGUAAAGCGCGUGUAGGCGGCCCGGUAAGUCCGCUCUGAAAGUCCAGGGCUCAACCCUGGAAAGCGGGUGGAUACUGCCGGGCUAGAGUCCGGAAGGGGCGAGUGGAAUUCCGUGGUGUAGCGGUGGAAUGCGCAGAUAUCAGGAGGACACCACAGCGAAGGCAGCUCGCUGGACGGUACUGACGCUGAGGAGCGAAGC